rnacentral:rRNA from 1 species
GUUAAUUGAUUAUGACGUACUUGUACUGAUUGAGAUUUUAACACCAAGUGAGUGGCGAACGGGUGAGUAACACGUGGGUAACCUGCCCAGAAGUAGGGGAUAACACCUGGAAACAGAUGCUAAUACCGUAUAACAGAGAAAACCGCAUGGUUUUCUUUUAAAAGAUGGCUCUGCUAUCACUUCUGGAUGGACCCGCGGCGUAUUAGCUAGUUGGUGAGGUAAAGGCUCACCAAGGCAGUGAUACGUAGCCGACCUGAGAGGGUAAUCGGCCACAUUGGGACUGAGACACGGCCCAGACUCCUACGGGAGGCAGCAGUAGGGAAUCUUCCACAAUGGACGCAAGUCUGAUGGAGCAACGCCGCGUGAGUGAAGAAGGGUUUCGGCUCGUAAAGCUCUGUUGUUAAAGAAGAACGUGGGUAAGAGUAACUGUUUACCCAGUGACGGUAUUUAACCAGAAAGCCACGGCUAACUACGUGCCAGCAGCCGCGGUAAUACGUAGGUGGCAAGCGUUAUCCGGAUUUAUUGGGCGUAAAGCGAGCGCAGGCGGUCUUUUAAGUCUAAUGUGAAAGCCUUCGGCUCAACCGAAGAAGUGCAUUGGAAACUGGGAGACUUGAGUGCAGAAGAGGACAGUGGAAAUCCAUG